UUUGGUUUUAUUUAAAGUGAGAGAAAGUAUUGUAAGCAGCGCCAGCUGGGUUUUCUCAACUAGUUUUAACUCUCCCAAUUUUCUUCUUUUACUCUCUUUCUCCCCUCAAAAUUUUCCUUUUGUAGAUGAACCAAUCUUUAGACUCAUCACCUUCAAAACCUUAAUGAUUAUUCAAGAUUUCAUUUAAGUUAUGAUGUAAACAUUGAGGAACAAAAAAAGAGUGUAAAACUUAGCCUUUUUUUCUUUGCAAAAACAACCUUUUAUCCCCCCUUUCUUGAUGGGUAGUGAAGUUGAGGAGGAAUAUAAAAAGGAGAAAUAUGAAACUUUGGUAUUUAGAGAGAAAAAUGGUUUGCACAAAAUCAAUACUUUCACUCAAAACUCUUCCGUUUUGGUUGGUUUUAGUUGUGAAAGUCUCUGUUCUCAUGUCUUCUUCUUAUAAGUGAAACAAACAAACAAAAAAAGACGAGAACCCAAAAUUUAGCUUGCUCUUAGCAUCACUUUCUCAGCUCUGUUUCUCAGUUUUUGUACAGUUACUCUGCUCACUAAAUAAGCUUAAGAAUUCAAGAACUGAACUUUGAUCCCAAAAAAAGAAACAAAUAUAUUGAACUUUGGUUUUCAAGGACUGAUCAUCAAUUAUGAAAAGACCUUGUAGUUCUGAUUCAUUGGGUGCUUUGAUGUCCAUGUGUCCAAAUACUACAGGUACUUGUUAUAAUUUGCUUAAAGUUUGGAACUUUUUUUCUUUCCUUUUUAAUGGUAUUUUUUAUUUAUUUUAUUUUUCAUUUUUUCAUGUUUUCUUGUCUAUAACCCUUUUCCAAGCUCCAAUUUCCAGUUUUAGCUAUAAAGAAACUAGUGGAGUAAUAUAAAAAUUGAAUCAUUUUAUUAAAUCAAGAACAGGGUUUUUUUUACCUUUCCUGUUUUAGUAAGUUUUUUGUGCUUCACUCUUUAUACCAUUGUCUGUUCAUAUCUUUCCAUUUUAGCUUUCUUCAAGGCAAUUAUGUUCUCUUUAUCUCAUGUCUUUUUUUUUUCCUCAUAAUUCUUUUUAUUAUUUUAGAUGAGCAAAACCAUAUGUAUUCAACAAGGGAUUUUCAGUCUAUGUUAUUAGAUGAAGAAGGAUGUAUUGAAGAAUCUGGUCAUGUUUCUGAGAAGAAAAGGAGACUAAGUGUUGAACAAGUAAAAGCUUUAGAGAAGAAUUUUGAAGUUGAAAAUAAGCUUGAACCUGAAAGGAAAGUGAAGUUGGCUCAAGAACUUGGUUUGCAGCCUAGACAAGUUGCUGUUUGGUUUCAAAACAGACGUGCUCGUUGGAAAACAAAGCAAUUAGAGAGAGAUUAUGGUGUUCUUAAAGCCAAUUUUGAUGCCCUCAAACAUAAUUAUGAGUCUCUCAAACAUGACAAUGAAGCUCUCUUGAAAGAGGUAAUAUAAUGAGUUUAACUUAUAUACUCGGAUAGUGUAACGAUUUUUAGCAUAGUAGUUUACUUAGUAGAUAAAUAUAUGAAACUAUUCAUAAAAAGCUAUAUUGGUAACCUCAAUAAAAUUCUUUCUUGUUAUAACAUGUUAGGAAAUCAUGUAAAAAUUCUUUAUACUAUAAGCAGGGGCGGGGAGCUAGAAGCUUAGGUAUGAGUUCAUUCCAACCUAGUAACUUUUGUUCGAACAGUAUAUUUGUAUUACGAAAUUUAUUAAAUAUAUACAAAUAUUUAAUUUAGAACCUAGUUAUUAGUUGUCUUUUAAAAUUCAGAACCCAAAAAAUUGAAUUCUUGGCUCCACAUAAGUUAAUAGUUAAUUCCUGAUAUAAAACAUAUAGCAUAGGUAGAUUAAGUUCUAUGCCCUUAUGUUAUACACAUAUUUAUAAAAUCAAGUUACUUAUUAGAUAAUUACGUGAUUUGUAUAAGCAUUAAUUGGUGACCUGAUAAAAACAGUUAGUUUACUAUCAUUAAACUUUAGUGUAAAAAUCUUUACUUUUUGUUUAUAACUUAAAUCUAUUGUGUAAAAGUACUAGAUAUGUACAUAAAAGUUUGAAUCUUUUAAGGGUUUUUGUGCUGAUUUUUGUGUCUUUUUUCAUGGGGUGUUUAUAGAUUCGUGAGCUGAAAUCAAAGGUGUAUACUGAGAAUGGAGAAAACAGAGGUGUUGCAGUGAAAGAAGAGGCUAUGGAAUCUGAAAGUGAUGACAACAAAGUGAUUGAGCUGAGCAAGCCAAAUGAUAAUGACAUCAACAACAAUAAUCUUCUUGAAAAUUUUGAAGAAGAAGAAGAUGAAGAAGAAGAAAUCAACUUUGAGAACUUUAAUGCUGCUGCUGCAUCUACCAAUAUUUUUGGUGAUCAUUUCAAAGAUGGAUCUUCAGAUAGUGAUUCAAGUGCAAUCUUGAAUGAAGAUAGCAGUCCAAAUGCUGCUGCUAUUUCUUCAUCUGGUGCUUUCUUGAUUUCAACUAAUGGAAAUGGAAGUGGAAGUUCAAAAUCUUCAACUUCAUUGAAUUUUUGCUUCCAAUUCACAGAAUCAAGUUCAAAAUCAAAUCUUGGAGAUGGCCAAAAGGGUAAUAAUUAUUACCAGCCACAACAGUAUGUGAAAAUGGAGGAGCAUAAUUUUUUCAAUGGUGAAGAAUCUUGCAGUACUCUUUUCACAGAUGAACAAGCUCCUACACUUCAAUGGUACUGUCCUGAGGAUUGGAAUUGGAAAGAAUCUUGAUUUUAUGUUUCACUUCAGAAGAAGGCCAAGAAGAAUAAAGGAAAUGUCUUUUGGGAACAAAAUUUUGUAUAGUGGUUAAAAAUGCAAUCAUCAGUACAGUAAAUGGCCUAAUGGGUAAUAUUCAAAGAUGAAAAAAGAAAAACUGAAGUUUUUGGAUUUUGCCCUGUUGGGGGUGGGAGUGGAGGAGGGGGUGGGUGGUAGGGGUGAGGAAGAAGGAAGUGUGUGGAUUGGGGUAAAGGCUGUGACUUUUGCAGGGAUGAUUUGGUAGUAAUUGAAGUCUUCACAAAGAUCUGAUCUUUUUUACUGUUUAGAGGAGAGUGGAAAAAACUAAGUGAAAAAGGGAAAAAGAAGGAUUUAAGAGAAUCUAUGAUGAUAAAUGAUGGUGAGAAAAAGCUUCCUGUAAUGGCAAAUAAAAGUGGCAAAAAGUAUAUUCAUGCAUUCUUUGUGUUUUAAUAGUUUUUUCCAAUGCAUUAAUGGAAAAUAAAAAUCAUUAUGCAUACAUUACUUAGGUAUGACUUUGGCUUCUAAAUUCUAGUUAAACACAAUUUUAUAAGAAAACUUAGAAACUCUUAAUUAAACAUGGAGAGAUUUAAGUCAUUUCACCCUUGGUUGUCGCUCUUGAUUGCCACUUUCACACUUUUAUCCUUCUUUCUACUAUAAAAAAGAAUUCAUUUCUUUGUUUUGUGAAAAAAUUAAAUAUAAUAGAAUUAAAUUAUAUGAUCAUUAAAAAUAUGAAAAACUAUAAUUUGUAGUACUUUUGUGUUGAUGAAAUUCGAGUGAAUCAACAAUGGAAUCCCUAAUCUGAUAGUAUCAUAACAGAGGUUGAGAGAGGAGAAGAAGCAAGAGUGUUGUAUUGAAAUGACUAAUGUGUAUUGUUACAUUGAGCUAACCACCUACAUAUUGACAACUAAUUUUCACUAACUUCCUAAUCACUCCCCCUUGUGGGUGCAAAGACAUUGAUCACUCCUAGCUUGCCGACUAGAUACUCAUGUUGUGGUCUUCCUAAUCCUUUAGUUAGAAUAUCUACUAGCUGCUCCUUUGAAGAAAUAUACUGAGUUUUCACCGGCCCUUCCUGUAUCUUCUGUCUAAUAAAAUGACAGUCGAUCUCUAUGUGUUUUGUUUUUUCGUGAAACACUGGAUUUGCUGAUAUAUAUUUGCAUAGCAGCCUUGCUAUCACUAUGCACAUGUAUUGGCAGUUUCACUUCUGUUCCCAACUCCUUUAGCAAUGCCGUUAGCCAAACAACUUCUGAGACUGCACUGGCCAUGCUUCUAUAUUCAUCUUCAACUGAGCUUUUAGAGACUGUAUUUUGUUUCUUGGAUUUCCAUGAAACUGGAGAUUCUCCAUACUUAAUUAGAUAUCUUAAUACUGACUUUCUAGUGUUUGGGCACGAGGCCCAAUCAGCAUCGCAGAAAACAUUGAUCUCAUUUGAACUUUGACUGCUCAAUAAGAUCCCUAGUCCUAGUUCCCUUUUGAUGUACUUUACCACUCUUAUAGCUGCAUCCCAAUGAGAUUUCUUUGGCUGUUGCAUGAAUUGGCUAAGAGUUUGUACUGAGAAUGCAAUGUCUGGUCUGGACAUAGUCAGAUACAAUAGCUUUCCAAUUAGCUUCUGAUAUUGGCAUGCAUCUUCCAACAUUUGAUCUCAUGUUGUGCCCACCAACUGGUCCAAUUCUGGAACUGUCAGCUUGACAUUUGCCUCUAAUAGUGUCCAGGCUAGUUUUGCUCUACCUAAUCCCAAAUCUGAUAUUAUUUCUAGUGCAUAUUUUCUUUGGUUGAUCAAAAUACCCUUGUUGAAU
rnacentral:lncRNA from 1 species